AUUGAACGCUGGCGGCAGGCCUAACACAUGCAAGUCGAACGAGUGGCGGACGGGUGAGUAAUGUCUGGGCAACUGCCUGAUGGAGGGGGAUAACUACUGGAAACGGUAGCUAAUACCGCAUACCAUCAGAUGUGCCCAGAUGGGUUUAGCUAGUAGGUGGGGUAACGGCUCACCUAGGCGACGAUCCCUAGCUGGUCUUAGAGGAUGACCGGCCACCCUGGAACUGAGCCACGGUCCAGACUCCUACGGGAGGAAGCAGUGGGGAAUAUUGCACAGUGGGCGCAAGCCUGAUGCAGCCAUGCGGCGUGUAUGAAGAAGGCCUUCGGGCUGAAAAGUACUUUCAGCAGGGAGGCGUUACCCGCAGAGGAAGCACCGGCUAACUCCGUGCCAGCAGCCGCGGUAAUAC
rnacentral:rRNA from 1 species